AGGGGAGGAGCCGGGAGAGCGGGGCCGCUGCAAGGAUCGUGGAGCGCUGCGUUCCGCGCAGGACGCCGGCUCUCUGUCACCCAGAGCUGGAGUGCAGUGGCACAAUCAUAGCUCACUGAAGCCUCAGACUCUUGGCCUCAAGUGAUCCUCCUGCUUUGACCACCCAACAUAGGAUUACAGGCAUGAGCCACCACAUCUGGCCUGUCUUUCCAUCGGAAGAAGUUUUGUCACAUGGAAGUUCUGCCUCUGGCUUGGGAAGGCACUUUGGGCCACACAGAAGAGGACUGUCCUGGGACAUUUGUAUUUUGGAGAGUGGUUUCUGAAUCCACUUUUAUCUUUCUGUACUUCUCUCUACUAUUCUGAAUUUCUCAAUCUGUCUCUCUCUUUCUCUCCCUCCCUCUUAUUGUGUGUAUUUAUUUUUUAGAGCAUGUGACUUUUAAUGCAAAUACAUACAUACAAAGAAUAUAAAAUUCUCCCUUCAUUCCUCCCCACCCUCCAAUUCCUAUUCCCCUCCCAGCACCACUGUUUACAUUUUAGUGUGUGUCUUUUUAGUCCUUAACACAUACAUUAAAGAAAGUACGUUGACUUCCAAUUUCACUAUUUUUUUCAUUUCAUAAAUAUUGUACUGUCUUAUCUUCCCCCCCAAAUUACCAUUUUUAAUAUAAAUAUAUUAAUUUAAUAACUGGAGGAGAUGCA